GAGGGUAUAGCUCAAGUGAUAGAGCACUGUGCUUUUAGCAUGCAUGAGGGCCUGGAUUCAAUUCCCAGUACCACCA
rnacentral:tRNA from 1 species